rnacentral:rRNA from 1 species
UACGUAGGGUGCAAGCGUUGUCCGGAUUUAUUGGGCGUAAAGGGCGCGUAGGCGGUGCGGUAAGUCCGCAGUGAAAUCUCUGGGCUCAACUCAGAGUCUGCUGUGGAAACUGCCGUGCUUGAGUGUGGGAGAGGUGAGUGGAAUUCCCGGUGUAGCGGUGAAAUGCGUAGAUAUCAGGAGGAACACCGGUGGUGUAGACGGCUUUCUGGACCGUAACUGACGCUGAGACACGAAAGCGUGGGUAGCAAACAGG